rnacentral:rRNA from 1 species
CCUACGGGUGGCAGCAGUCGAGAAUUUUUGACAAUGGGGGAAACCCUGAUCGAGCGACGCCGCGUGGAGGAUGAAGGUCUUCGGGUUGUAAACUCCUGUCAUUUGGGAACUAGUACCAGAAGAGGAAGGGACGGCUAACUCUGUGCCAGCAGCCGCGGUAAUACAGAGGGCCCAAGCGUUGUUCGGAUUCAUUGGGCGUAAAGGGUGUGUAGGUGGCGCCGUAAGUCGGGUGUGAAAUCUCGGGGCUUAACCCCGAAACUGCAUUCGAUACUGCGGUGCUUGAGGACUGGAGAGGAGACUGGAAUUCAUGGUGUAGCAGUGAAAUGCGUAGAGAUCAUGAGGAAGACCAGUGGCGAAGGCGGGUCUCUGGACAGUCCUGACACUGAGACACGAAGGCCAGGGGAGCAAACGGGAUUAGAUACCCCGGUAGUC